GUGCCAUUGGCCGAUCGGCAGAGGCGCCAGCCUACCAAGCUGGACAGGCGGGUUCGAUUCCCGCAUGGCACU
rfam:Candidatus Entotheonella sp. TSY1 genomic scaffold TSY1_scaffold00042, whole genome shotgun sequence.